GAUGAACGCUGGCGGCGUGCCUAAUACAUGCAAGUCGAGCGAACAGAUGAGGAGCUUGCUCCUCUGACGUUAGCGGCGGACGGGUGAGUAACACGUGGAUAACCUACCUAUAAGACUGGGAUAACUUCGGGAAACCGGAGCUAAUACCGGAUAAUAUAUUGAACCGCAUGGUUCAAUAGUGAAAGACGGUUUUGCUGUCACUUAUAGAUGGAUCCGCGCCGCAUUAGCUAGUUGGUAAGGUAACGGCUUACCAAGGCAACGAUGCGUAGCCGACCUGAGAGGAUGAUCGGCCACACUGGAACUGAGACACGGUCCAGACUCCUACGGGAGGCAGCAGUAGGGAAUCUUCCGCAAUGGGCGAAAGCUUGACGGAGCAACGCCGCGUGAGUGAUGAAGGUCUUCGGAUCGUAAAACUCUGUUAUUAGGGAAGAACAAAUGUGUAAGUAACUAUGCACGUCUUGACGGUACCUAAUCAGAAAGCCACGGCUAACUACGUG
rnacentral:rRNA from 1 species